GAUGAACGCUGGCGGCGUGCCUAAUACAUGCAAGUCGAGCGAACAGAUGAGAAGCUUGCUUCUCUGAUGUUAGCGGCGGACGGGUGAGUAACACGUGGGUAACCUACCUAUAAGACUGGGAUAACUCCGGGAAACCGGGGCUAAUACCGGAUAAUAUUUUGAACCGCAUGGUUCAAUAGUGAAAGACGGUUUCGGCUGUCACUUAUAGAUGGACCCGCGCCGUAUUAGCUAGUUGGUAAGGUAAUGGCUUACCAAGGCGACGAUACGUAGCCGACCUGGCAGGGGGAUCGGCAACACUGGAACUGAGACACGGUCCAGAUUCCUACGGGAGGCAGCAGUAGGGAAUCUUCCGGAAUGGGCGAAAGCCUGACGGAGCAACGCCGCGUGAGUGAUGAAGGUCUUCGGAUCGUAAAACUCUGUUGUUAGGGAAGAACAAAUUUGUUAGUAACUGAACAAGUCUUGACGGUACCUAACCAGAAAGCCACGGAUAACUACGUGCCAGCAGCCGCCGUAA
rnacentral:rRNA from 1 species